rnacentral:rRNA from 1 species
AACGAACGCUGGCGGCAUGCCUAACACAUGCAAGUCGAGCGAGGACUUCGGUCCUAGCGGCGGACGGGUGAGUAACGCGUGGGAACGUGCCCUUUGCUUCGGAAUAGCUCUGGGAAACUGGGAGUAAUACCGGAUGAGCCCUUUGGGGGAAAGAUUUAUCGGCGAAGGAUCGGCCCGCGUUGGAUUAGGUAGUUGGUUGGGUAAUGGCCUACCAAGCCGACGAUCCAUAGCUGGUUUGAGAGGAUGAUCAGCCACACUGGGACUGAGACACGGCCCAGACUCCUACGGGAGGCAGCAGUGGGGAAUCUUAGAAAAUGGGGGAAACCCUGAUCUAGCCAUGCCGCGUGAGCGAUGAAGGCCUUAGGGUUGUAAAGCUCUUUCAGCUGGGAAGAUAAUGACGGUACCAGCAGAAGAAGCCCCGGCUAACUCCGUG